rnacentral:rRNA from 1 species
UACAGACGUCUCAAGCGUUGUUCGGAUUCAUUGGGCGUAAAGGGUGCGUAGGUGGCGUCGUAAGUCAGGUGUGAAAUCUCGGGGCUCAACCCCGAAACUGCACUUGAUACUGCGAUGCUCGAGUACUGGAGAGGAGAUUGGAAUUUACGGUGUAGCAGUGAAAUGCGUAGAUAUCGUAAGGAAGACCAGUGGCGAAGGCGAAUCUCUGGACAGUUACUGACACUGAGGCACGAAGGCCAGGGGAGCAAACGGG